GACGAACGCUGGCGGCGUGCCUAAUACAUGCAAGUCGGACGCAGUGGGGAGGGGUGAGUAAAACGUGGGUAACCUCCCAUCAGAGGGGAUAACACGUGGAAACAGGGGCUAAACCGAUACGGGUGGCAGGAACCGCGGUGCAUUAGCUAGUUGGUGAGGUAACGGCUCACCAAGGCCAAGAUGCAUAGCCGACCUGAGAGGUUGAUCGGCCACACUGGGACUGAGACACGGCCCAGACUCCUACGGGAGGCAGCAGUAGGGAAUCUUCGGCAAUGGACGAAAGUCUGACCGAGCAACGCCGCGUGAGUGAAGAAGGUUUUCGGAUCGUAAAACUCUGUUGUUAGAGAAGCGGUAUCUAACCAGAAAGCCACGGCUAACUACGUGCCAGCCGCCGCGGUAAUAC
rnacentral:rRNA from 1 species